UCGAGUUCUUGAAACGGGUUGUAGCUGGCCUUCCGAGGCAUGUGCACGCCCUGCUCAAUCCACUCUACACCUGUGCACUUACUGUAGGUUUCUUGGUCGCGUUGGGUUCCUUUACUGGGGCUCGACAAAGCCGAGGGGCUUAUGUUUUACUACAAACUAUAAAGUAACUGAAUGUAUACCGCGUCUAACGCAUCUAUAUA
rnacentral:misc_RNA from 2 species